UAGUCCGGAUUGGAGUCUGCAACUCGACUCCAUGAAGUCGGAAUCGCUAGUAAUCGUGGAUCAGAAUGCCACGGUGAAUACGUUCCCGGGCCUUGUACACACCGCCCGUCACACCAUGGGAGUGGGUUGCAAAAGAAGUAGGUAGCUUAACCUUCGGGAGGGCGCUUACCACUUUGUGAUUCAUGACUGGGGUGAAGUCGUAACAAGGUAACCGUAGGGGAACCUGCGGUUGGAUCACCUCCUUACCUUAAAGAA
rnacentral:rRNA from 1 species